CACGUAGGCGGCCUGGUAAGUCAGAUGUGAAAGCCCGGGGCUUAACCCCGGAAGUGCAUUUGAUACUGUCAGGCUUGAGUAUGGGAGAGGGAAGUGGAAUUCCUGGUGUAGAGGUGAAAUUCGUAGAUAUCAGGAGGAACACCGGUGGCGAAGGCGACUUCCUGGACCAAUACUGACGCUGAGGUGCGAAGGCGUGGGUAGCAGACAGGAUUAGAUACCCUGGUAGUCC
rnacentral:rRNA from 1 species